AGGGGGCCGAGUGCGGGGGAACCACAGAAGCCCGCCUCCCUCCCAUCCUCACUGGAGCAGUUCGGUCGCUGUGACAGCCCGAUUAAUAAACUGAGGCUUAAAUAUAACCACACGUGGCUAGUGGCUACCUACCAUACCGAAGCACUCCUGAACCACCCCCGUCAGUUGCAAAUUGAAGGCCCACGAGUCAGAAGAGGCUCACGGUAACAAGCCGUUUGGACCACAAGGGACUCCUCAACUUUGGCAUUACUGGCAUUUUGGGGCGGGACUGGUCUUUGCUGUGGGGGCCAUCCUAUGCACCGAGAAAUGUCCAACAGCAUCCCUGAGCUCCACUCUCCUG